CACCAAUCGUGCGCGCCCGUUUCUGUGACGGACAGGCGCGGCGGCGAGCAGGAAGAAGGGUGAGCGCGGGGUCGGUUGGGCUCCUCGGAGGGCGCCGCCGGGGCCAUGGCCCUGAGCUGGAGGGAAGUGUUCAUAGGGAAAGUACUGAAACGACUCUAUCCUGAAACUUCAUCAUCUUCUCUUGCACAUACUUCGACUAAAGAAGAAGAGGUGGGUCCCAGAAAUCUGGGCUCAAAAUCCAAAGAAGAGGAUUUGAAUAACGUUCAGACUUCAUCAGCAGAGGCUAGCACAUCAACUGCUACACUCGGUAAAUCAUUUGAAGGUAGUGACAAUACGGUUCUGUCUCCAAGGAGAGUGUACACAGUGAAUCUUCCUCCAGAGGGUUACGUCUCAGUUACUCCAGAUGCUGUUAGUAUUUCAGUUUCCGAAAACUCAGACAGUAGUGCUGACUCAACAGAGGAGGAAUAUCAAGGACAGACUAAGAGAAAGCGGAUUCGAAGAAAGAAACAAAAGAACAGUUUGCAAAGCUCUAAUAAUUUACAUGGAGAACAAACAGAAUCUGGAAUGCAAGAGACUCUUGUUCAAGAUAAUUUACAGCUGCAGCAGCAGAUAGACAUUCCUAAAGUAAGCAAAAACAAAAAGAGGAAAAUGAAAAAGAAGCGACGGAAAGAAAAAAUGAGAGCAGCUGGCUUGGUAACAAAAACUACCGGUGUGGAUUUUACAUAUCAGCCUGACAAAAACAACGGAGAAGACUUAAAAGGCUUAAAAGACAUAGAUGAAAAGGCAGAUAGCAUUCUGGACUUCUUGCAAGCAACACAACAAAUAUAUUUUGCUGACAAUAAAGCAAAAUGCACAGAUUCUGCUGUAAAUUCAACAGCUGCCCAAGAGCUUUUACGGUGUCUUGAAUCUCGCACCAUCUCUCCGUCAGAUGUGACUCUUCUACAUCAGUUGAAAUCCCUUGUAUUGCUACAGGAUAUUGAGAGAUUGGAGGAUGCUUUGAAAACAUUCCGAGAACAAUCCAUGAUGACUCCUGAUCACACCAAGAUAGUCACAUCUCUGUUUCACUACUGGAUUACAGAUAUCCUUCCUGUGAAGAACAGGAAAUAAAACCUUACCCGUGUCCAUGUUGUCCAUCUCAACCACGACACCAUGUCCACAGAAUUUAAAUUUAAUAUACAAACUCUUAAUCGGGUAGCGAUUGGUCAGGAAGAGCAGUGUCCAUACACAUUCUACACCUUCAGUCCCACAUCUGCAGAAUGAAGAAAAUACCUCUUGAAUGUGAAGUACCUGGAUAUUCUAUUGACAGACCCCACAGGAAAUUAAUCACUUCAUCCUCAGAUUAAGGUUUGAAUGUCAUGCAGUAAAUGAGGCCAAGGAACUGCACAAAAAGGAUAUGCAGCAAUUCAUUAGGAAGCCGUUGCCUGGGAGUGUAAAAGGGAGAAGGAGAAGAGUAAGGAGCUGUUGUACAGCCGUAAUUGGAACUCACCCAACAUGAUCUGAGGAGGUGCUUCUCCUGCUCUUCCUCUUGUUCCCUUCAUGUGAUCAUGCACAAAGUGGCCUCCAUCUCUUCUCAGGCAGGCUCAGUAAAAGAUUGCUGUGUAAUUGAUUCCUCCUCCCAGUAGCGCUAAGUAAAAGCAAAUAUAAAUGCACAGAGGAGUAACCAUUGCUAGGAAGAUCAAACGGAUCACCCAUUGCUUGUGUUCUAGAGAGUGAAUCAAUAGCAAACAUAUUUUUUCAGCAUCACAGGUGUAAUCACCGAACUCUGUAGGCCCAGCAAUAGCUGUUUGAUCUCUGUCUGGCAUGUUGGAGCUUAAAAUGAAGGUCAUAUUCAAAUCUGAUUGGAAUUCAGGGUAGGCAUCUUAGCUUAUUACCAUUAUUAUAGUGCUAGAUUCUACUUACAUUGGUAAACAGUUUAAAAUACUUGACAUGUUAUUCAAUUAAAUCAGUGAUUGCUAACUGACAGACCAAAGUGCAUUGAUUUUUCCAACCACAUUAAACUAAGUACAUGGCACAGUGUUUCAUUAGCCUGUCUGCUUAACCCUUUCACAUUUAAUUCAAUUACCCAGUAUAAAAUUAAAGUGUAAAAUAUUUAAUAAUUCUGGAUUUCUAAAUUAGAAGGCAUUGCAAGGAUAUAUUCAUCUCAAUAGUUUCUGACAUAUAUUUAUUACUGGGUGAUUUACAGUCUGCUAUAUAUCAUGUUGUUAUCCAGACGGCAAAAGUCACUCAGAAAGUUUUUUCUCUGUAUUCACUCAGUAAAUGGACACAUUCAUAGAGCGUAAGAUUAAAAGGACAUGAGAUUAUAUUUUUUGACCCCAUCCAGAUCCCUGCUCAUAAAUUUUCCUUUUACUUCAGGGUGAAGACCAGUAACUUGAGACUGACAAAAGCACAAUUUGUGUAUUUUGCUAGAGCAAGUCUUCUGCAGAGACAGGCAAGGUUGGUUUAAAGAC